rnacentral:rRNA from 1 species
AGUGAACGCUGGCGGUAGGCCUAACACAUGCAAGUCGAACGGCAGCACAGUAAGAGCUUGCUCUUACGGGUGGCGAGUGGCGGACGGGUGAGGAAUACAUCGGAAUCUACUUUUUCGUGGGGGAUAACGUAGGGAAACUUACGCUAAUACCGCAUACUACCUACGGGUGAAAGCAGGGGAUCUUCGGACCUUGCGCGAUUGAAUGAGGCGAUGUCGGAUUAGCUAGUUGGCGGGGUAAAGGCCCACCAAGGCGACGAUCCGUAGCUGGUCUGAGAGGAUGAUCAGCGACACUGGAACUGAGACACGGUCCAGACUCCUACGGGAGGCAGCAGUGGGGAAUAUUGGACAAUGGGCGCAAGCCUGAUCCAGCCAUACCGCGUGGGUGAAGAAGGCCUUCGGGUUGUAAAGCCCUUUUGUUGGGAAAGAAAAGCAGCAGGUUAAUACCCCGCUGUUCUGACGGUACCCAAAGAAUAAGCACCGGCUAACUUCGUG